rnacentral:rRNA from 1 species
AAGACCUUGCGCUUUUGGAGCGGCCGAUGCCUGAUUAGCUUGUUGGUAAGGUAAAAGCUUACCAAGGCUUCGAUCAGUAGUUGGUCUGAGAGGACGACCAGCCACACUGGGACUGAGACACGGCCCAGACUCCUACGGGAGGCAGCAGUGGGGAAUUUUGGACAAUGGGGGAAACCCUGAUCCAGCCAUGCCGCGUGAGUGAAGAAGGCCUUCGGGUUGUAAAGCUCUUUCAGUUGAGAAGAAAAGAUUACGACUAAUAAUCGUGAUUCAUGACGGUAUCAACAGAAGAAGCACCGGCUAACUACGUGCCAGCAGCCGCGGUAAUACGUAGGGUGCAAGCGUUAAUCGGAAUUACUGGGCGUAAAGGGUGCGCAGGCGGUCUUGUAAGUCAGAUGUGAAAUCCCCGGGCUUAACCUGGGAAC